rnacentral:rRNA from 1 species
UGAACGCUGGCGGCGUGCCUAAUACAUGCAAGUCGCGCGAACAGACGAGGAGCUUGCUCCUCUGACGUUAGCGGCGGACGGGUGAGUAACACGUGGAUAACCUACCUAUAAGACUGGGAUAACUUCGGGAAACCGGAGCUAAUACCGGAUAAUAUAUUGAACCGCAUGGUUCAAUAGUGAAAGACGGUUUUGCUGUCACUUAUAGAUGGAUCCGCGCCGCAUUAGCUAGUUGGUAAGGUAACGGCUUACCAAGGCAACGAUGCGUAGCCGACCUGAGAGGGUGAUCGGCCACACUGGAGCUGAGACACGGUCCAGACUCCUACGGGAGGCAGCAGUAGGGAAUCUUCCGCAAUGGGCGAAAGCCUGACGGAGCAACGCCGCGUGAGUGAUGAAGGUCUUCGGAUCGUAAAACUCUGUUAUUAGGGAAGAACAAAUGUGUAAGUAACUAUGCACGUCUUGACGGUACCUAAUCAGAAAGCCACGGCUAACUACGUG